rnacentral:rRNA from 1 species
AUUGAACGCUGGCGGCAGGCCUAACACAUGCAAGUCGAGCGGAUGAAGGGAGCUUGCUCCUGGAUUCAGCGGCGGACGGGUGAGUAAUGCCUAGGAAUCUGCCUGGUAGUGGGGGAUAACGUCCGGAAACGGGCGCUAAUACCGCAUACGUCCUGAGGGAGAAAGUGGGGGAUCUUCGGACCUCACGCUAUCAGAUGAGCCUAGGUCGGAUUAGCUAGUUGGUGGGGUAAAGGCCUACCAAGGCGACGAUCCGUAACUGGUCUGAGAGGAUGAUCAGUCACACUGGAACUUAGACACGGUCCAGACUCCUAAGGGAGGCAGCAGUGGGGAAUAUUGGGCAAUGGGCGAAAACCUGAUCCAGCCAUGCCGCGUGUGUGAAGAAGGUCUUCGGAUUGUAAAGCACUUUAAGUUGGGAGGAAGGGCAGUAAGUUAAUACCUUGCUGUUUUGACGUUACCAACAGAAUAAGCACCGGCUAACUUCGUG